rnacentral:rRNA from 1 species
UACGUAGGGUGCAAGCGUUGUCCGGAAUUAUUGGGCGUAAAGAGCUCGUAGGCGGUUCGUCGCGUCGGUUGUGAAAACCCGAGGCUCAACCUCGGGCCUGCAGUCGAUACGGGCGGACGUGGAGUUCGGCAGGGGGAGAGCUGGAAGUCCUGGUUGUAGCGGUGGAAAUGACGCAGAUAUCAGGAGGAACACCGGUGGCGAAGGCGGGUCUCUGGGCCGUAACUGACGCUGAGGAGCGAAAGCGUGGGGAGCGAACAGG